UAUAUGCCAUUUAGCAGCUGCUUUUAUCCAAAGCGACUUACAGUCAUGCAUGUCAUGCAUGGGUGGUCCUGGGAAUCGAAACCACUCUUCUGGCAUUACAAGCAGCAUGCUCUACUAACUACACAGGACCACUUUCAUUAGUGAUGAGAUCUCUUGUUUAUAAUUAUACAAUUACUAAUUGAUGGACAAUUUCCGAUCUUCAUUGUUCAGAUCAUUUUGGAUGUUUUGCUCAACCCUAAAUGUAAUAGUUCAACUCCAGUAUACUCAGUUAGUUGAGAGGUGUGAUUUAGUUUCAAGCUCUGGGUAUAGUACUGUGUCAUGUGUAAUAAAUCCACACAGUCACCAAGGAGACUAGUGUUUCCACACAUGUUUAAUGUUGGCUCUGAAUAAAAAAACAUCUUCUGCCUGUGACAAGAGAAAAGAAGGGAUCAACAUCAUCCUUUUCAUCCAUAAUCCACACAUGAACACUUGAAAUAAUACAAUGGAUGUGAUAAUGUACUCCUUUGUAAGCCUCUGUGCUCAGCUUUGCUUUAAAUUUCAUUUAUAAAUUUAGUAGGAGUUGUCUUAUAUUCUUUAACAUUAGAAACUGCAUCAAUAUUCUCUAAGUAUAGGUUUCUCAGAGACCUCUAAGUCAUCAUGCUCCAAUAAAGUUAUUAGGUCAAUAUCGACCUGUAUACACUGAACCAUCAAGUGGUGAGGAUAUAUUUGGACAUGUGUGUUGGGUCUGCAUCUGAAAUAGCACCACAUUCCCUAUGGGUCCUGGUCAAAGGGAGUGCACUAUACAGGGUAUAGGGUGCCAUUUCCGAUGCAGCCUAGGUGUAACAGCAGAUCUGUAAUGUGUUCGUGUCCGGCAUAGCGGCCCUUGGCCAUGAGCUUGUUGACCUGGGUCUCAGUAAUGUCACAACGCUCCUCUACCUCAUCCAGCUUAUGCUGCACCUUCCUGAACUUAGACAUGUGGGAGUUGGAUGGUUCCUCCUUGGAGGGGGAGAAAGUGAGAGGGAGAGAGGAAGAGGAUACAAGAACAGGUAAGGAGGGAGAAAACCAGAUAAGAACAAUGUAAUGAUUCUCCUUAUACAGUGAGUAUUUGACUGCAAGUCUACUGUGACUCAAUGGUUCCUCAGCCUGCCUCCUGUAGGUCUUCACUUUCAACUUCAACUUGUCCACCAGGUCCUGCAGUCUGCUGACGAUUUUCUUGUCUUUCGCAGUCUGUGUGAGAUAAUAGUCAAAGCUCACAAGUCAUGUGUGUAUGUUUGUGUGAGUGUGUGUGUGAGUGAGAGUGUGUGCAGGUGUUUCUCUUACCUUGUAGGUGAGCUCCUUGACUCUGUGCUCAUACUUGCAGACUCUCUUGACAGCAUCCACACCUCCUCUCUGCUCGGUCUCCACCUCAGUCUCAAAAUCACCCACCUGUAGCACAGGGGACAUGGACACAAUGUUUGAGAAGAAGGGAGUCCUCUCAGAUGUUUGCCUGGGGUUGUAGACUACCAUACAAGCCACAUUAUGAGGAUUCACAUCAGUGAUAUGCUUCUUGGUCUUCUCCUCUGCGUUCCUGGCCUCCUGGAUGAUGUCGUCCACCUCACCUUGCACUGUCACCAGGUUGGCGGACUAGGCGUUGGCCCUCUGCACAUCAAUCAUGAGGUCCUCCACCUCUCCCUGCAGCCUCUGCUUGGUCUUCCCCAGAGAGGCCCACUUUGAGUUCACUGCCUCAACAGUUUCCUCAGCCUCCUGCAGACGAUUAUGGUGGUUGAGUGCGCUGCGGCGGAAGCGUUCACAAAAGAUUUGCGCUACGGAGGAGCAUGCAUGGUUGCCAUGAAGACCAAUGAAGAAUUUCAACAUAACAAAAUGCAAUGCAAGGAUGUUCAGAAGCAAAACACAUUAUGCAUACUUAUUAAACUACAUCUAACUGUUUGUUGAGUGUUAGGCCUAUGGAAAGUGUUACAUUUUGACAACGUGGAAAGUGUUCCUGUCUGAAAGUGAAUAUGUAAGCUGCUUCUCCCACUAACGUGCUGAUGCAUAUUGUUACUGGAGAUACUAUUGAUGACAAUCUACAGUGUAUUAACUGGUAUGCUCCUACUAAUCUGCUAAGACAUUAAGAGAUACUUGUUCCCCAAAAAAAUCCAUCAUCAUCUGUUUAAAGUGUUCCUUAUACUGUAAAUUGUACAGUAGGCCUACGGUGCUGCACUGCAUUGGCGUCUUCUUCAUUAUUGUGUGAUUGCAAAUUUCACUUAGAUACUGGAGGAAUACAAUGAUUUCAUAAACAUUCAAAUUAACAUGUUUUUGAGCUGUAAAUAUGAUACACACCAUAUCUGUCAAUAAAAAUAUUUUUUGUUUAUUCACUUAUAACAUGGGUACGAUUAGCAUAAUUGAAAUGUAACAAAAAACAAUAAAAGUUAUAGUUUGCUAUUAA